rnacentral:lncRNA from 1 species
AGUUUCACUUUCAGCUGCUCUGAGUAAUGGGCAUGGUCUCAGCCCGGAGUACAGUUUUCCCUUUCAUGCAUCCUUAACAAAGAACUAGCGUUUUCCACCAAGCCUCUUGUAACAUACCCAGCUAGCAAAGGCUCUUGCUAACUAACCCGUGUUUACUUGCUUGCGCUGGCGACCAAGCCGUAAUUAACGAUGCUGUAAUUAACAAUGCCGGUCUUGUUAUCAGAGUCUCCCGGGAACACUGUGAGCGGACUCGCCUGCUGAAAUGAGGUGUAGUAACUUUCCUAGACUUAUGUUUUGUGUGACCCUCGCAUGGUGAGUGCCCAAUGUCUCAGCGCCUCCGGUAUGGGGUUUUACCUAUCUGAUUUGAGGACUCUGAGCCCCACCGGACAGAAGCUGCCACUUAGCCCGUGUAAUCCUCUCAGAGCCUAGCUGAAACAGGACGGGCACUCAGUAACGUGAUAUGUUCAGCAAGAAAAACAAACUGAGACUUGAACCAGGAAGAAACGUGUCC